GUCAAAAGCUAGCUGCAGGCUUGCAACGAGUAGUAUAUAAGAGGCCAGGCAGCUAGAUAGCGAGUGAGCAUUGAGGCGUACGAGUAGGAUGACUGUGAAGAUGAAGCCGGUGGUGGCGCUGUUCCUAGUGACCGUCCUCAUCGCCUCGCAUGGUGCGAUGAUGCAGUGGGCGGCGGAGGCGGAGACGUGCAACUACCCAAUCUACAAGUGCUAGGGGGUGUGCUACAAGAGAGGCAAGUGCAACGCCUGCUGCAAGCAGCUCGGCUUCCUGGGCGGCAUGCUCUGCCUCUGCUGCCACGAGGACGACGACCAGCCGCCGCCCUCCUCCUCCUCCUCCACUCACCUCGCCAUCGAUCACGAUCACGAUCACGAUCACGCCGCCGGCAUGCCAUGAUCAUCAUUCAUCCAUCUAUAUAUAUUGCUCAUUUGCUCGCGUCUAUAUACACACACACAUACCUGCACUGCAGGUACCAAUCUCAUCUACUCCCAUUUAUAGUUGGAGUACAUAUAUAUGUUGGCUGGAUCAUGAGCCACCGGAUGUGAUGUGAGCAAUUAAUAAUAAUAACCACGGAUUACUGAUGCUGCAAA